CCUCAGAUGAAGAGGAACCAACUUCAGCAGGACUUUGCCUUCCUAAUCCAUGUCAUAAUGGUGGGAUAUGUGAAAUUAGUGAAGCAUAUCGAGGUGACACAUUCAUAGGAUACGUUUGCAAGUGUCCAGAGGGUUUUAAUGGGAUUCACUGCCAGCACAAUGUAAAUGAAUGUGAAGCUGAACCCUGCAAGAAUGGUGGAAUUUGUACAGACCUUGUUGCCAACUAUUCCUGUGAAUGUCCGGGUGAAUUUAUGGGAAGAAACUGCCA